AUUGAACGCUGGCGGCAUGCUUUACACAUGCAAGUCGAACGGCAGCGCGGGCUUCGGCCUGGCGGCGAGUGGCGAACGGGUGAGUAAUGCAUCGGAACGUGCCCAGUCGUGGGGGUUAGCCCGGCGAAAGCCGGAUUAAUACCGCAUACGACCUGCGGGUGAAAUCGGGGGACCGAAAGGCCUCGCGCUAUUGGAUCGGCCGAUGUCGGAUUAGCUUGUUGGUGGGGUAAAGGCUUACCAAGGCGACGAUCCGUAGCUGGUCUGAGAGGACGACCAGCCACACGGGGAGGGAGACACGGCCCAGACUCCUAAGGGAGGCAGCAGUGGGGAAUUUUGGACAAUGGGGGCAACCCUGACCCAGCCAUGCCGCGUGCGGGAAGAAGGCAUUCGGGUUGUAAACCGCUUUUGUUCGGGAAGAAAUCCUCUGGGCUAAUACCCCGGGGGGAUGACGGUACCGGAAGAAUAAGCACCGGCUAACUACGUG
rnacentral:rRNA from 1 species